UACAGAGGGUGCAAGCGUUAAUCGGAUUUACUGGGCGUAAAGGGUGCGUAGGUGGCUAUUUAAGUCGGAUGUGAAAGCCCGGGGCUCAACCUCGGAAUUGCAUUCGAUACUGAGUGGCUAGAGUUCGGUAGAGGGCGGCGGAAUUUCCGGUGUAGCGGUGAAAUGCGUAGAUAUCGGAAGGAACAGCAAUGGCGAAGGCAGCCGCCUGGGCCUGGACUGACACUGAGGCACGAAAGCGUGGGUAGCAAACAGG
rnacentral:rRNA from 1 species